UAUUGGAUCUAUACCAUGUGCUUGCUCACACAUUUAAUAAGUGCUCCAUGUGGCGCAAGGACUUCUUUCACUUCAAGAAGAGGAUGGACCUGGAACUGAGGAUUUUUUUUUUAAUUUUGUAAAGAUUUAGAUUUUCUUUCUAUCGCUUAGAUAUAUAACACUUUUGCAUGUCUGUAUUUGUGUUAGAAUACAUGUUAGAUAUAAAAAACUGUUAGAAGUAUUAGCAUUUUUACUGUAACGAAAAUCUCCAUUUAGCAUAAGGUUGAAACUUGUAACUUUUUUUUUGAUACUGCCCAAACUUUCCAUGCGAUGCUGGGAUAUUUCGAGGGUAAGUCUGGAAUUCCGCUAGUUCUGAACUAUUCAUAUUUGGCAAAAGUUCACUACUAGCAGAACUCGGAUUUGCUCCCGACAAGCGACGGGAAUGACUGGCGGUAAAGGUCUUAAGCUGCUGUGUUGAGCAACAGGUGGUUCACAUGUGUGGUGUAGUGACCGUUAAGGUGGACAGAAAAUUACUCUGGUGCCAAGUGAGCCAAAUCGGCCACUGCUGAUCUCAUGGUUCUGAGUUCACUUAACAUCAGUAAGAAGUUCCAGGGUCAAUUCCAGCGCUGUGAUGUUUUAGUUGGACUGAUUAACUCUUCAGAGUGAAAAUAGAACUUUGUGUUUGACUUUCGUGAUGCUUUUUUUCCAAAUGUAUUUCAUUUUUUAAGUGCCAUUUAAACAAACAUGUUACAAUGUGAAACAGAUCUGAGAAAAGAAAAGUUGUUUUUUUAUCUGUAAAUGUCUGUUGUUUUCUUUUCUCUUUAGGUAACCACUGACUUCAUUUAUUCCAAAAGAUAAUCCUAUCCAGCAAACUGCCUUAACUCUAUUGCAUUAAAGUGUUAGAAAAGCUUACGAGUGAAAACAACAACUAGCCAAAACAUUAUGACCACUGACAAGUAAGGUGAGUGAAACCGGUAAUCUUGUUAUAACACAGUGAUUUAAUUUAUAUUUUAUCUCAUUUAAAGCUGACUUUAGCCUGGAUAUUCAAGAAUCUUUUUGAAGUACUCACUCAGCUUUCAGUCUCUUAAAAGGGAUCCACAGUGAGUUCUAAUAGAAUUAGAAUAUAAUUUAUUUAAGAAGCAUUUAUUUCAGACAUAAAAAUUAUAUAAAAAAAAUUAUAGACUAUUCAGUUUUUAUAAAGUUAAAUAAAUACUGUCACAUGGAUGUCGCCAUGUUGUUUACGCUGCAAUGCAUCCUGGGUAGAUGACAUAUGCGAGGCAUAUAACACAGCACCAGAAACACACAGAGGUUUUAUCAUCAACUGUGGAGUGUAGAUAUUUUGAUGUGAAAAAAAAUGGCUGUUCCAGGCAGAUGGUCAUAAUGUUAUGUUGGGACCUGUUUACUUUUUCAGCACUAACAUUUUAAUUACUUGUUUGAUUUGUCACAGUACAGUUUGUGUGACGAGUGUAUAGAGAUCACUGUCUCGGUGUGUCUACAUGUGUUGGGUUUUUUUGUGUUCCAGGUUUUUCACCAAACUACAAGAGACCAAGAUGGCCAAAACAACAAGCAUUUGUCAAAUAAAUAUGUAAUUUAUGAAAUAAGUGAUUGUACGUUCUUGUUCAAUGUGUAAUAUAGUUCUUUUAUUUGGGAUAUUUUCUAAGAGAGUAAAUGUGCACUAAAAUCCUGAUUCAGCACGUACCCUGGUUUGAGGUCAAAAGGGGAGCUAUUAUGCUAAAUGUACUUUUUGCACGUUGUUGUACUUUUACUUGGGCCUUUAUUAGUUUUGGAAACAGUCUAAGUACCAACCCCUCCACCCCCAAAACAACCAACUGUUUUCUGGCUAUAAGUUAAUUUUUUGUCUGGACAACAAAAUGUUUCAAAAACCUUCCUACAAGCAACCUGCACUGAGUUUGGUAGAUGAAGACUCUUUCUAGAGAACUCCAUAACAAAAGCGACAAAAAUGUUUUACAUAUGAAGGAAGCAACGCUCUUAACAAUGGCCUGCCAAAUCUUGUCAUGAUAUGUGCGUAUUUGAACUUUGGGUUACAGAUUUGAUUAUAUUUAUUGUUCAUGUAUUUAGAUAAUCACAGUUGAAUCCUUGAUAUUAUGUCAUUUCUUAUUAUUUGCACAUUGGACUGUUAUGUUGCUAGGUUAGGCUAUGUUUUCACAGUAGGUCUUCAUUUUUUGUUGUUGCUAAAAUCUGUUUCAUUUUCCUUUUUUGUGGUCGUUCAUAUUACUAAUUAAAUAUGACAACAAUCGAA